ACACGGAGUUAAUGUGGCAGCUUCUCCGGGAAACCGGAGUUGAAACAGCAGGAGAAUUGCUGGAAGCCCAAACGUAAAGACGAGGGUAAUCAGCAGCCGCACCCUGAAAACAGAGGUUCAUUUUUUGGGUACUUCUAUCAGGGAAGGUUCAGAGACUAUGCACCUGCUGCCUAAAGGUGUAAACCUAAGGCAAUGAUAUAGUCCAAGUCCGAAAGUAAUUUCGGG
rnacentral:ncRNA from 1 species